rnacentral:lncRNA from 1 species
GGCGUGCCAAUCUAGCCAUCAUGCUAUAAAUGUAUCAUGACAAUAUAAUAAACAGACCUGGUUCGGCACCAGGCUAAGUACAAACAUAUCAAUGGCCCUUUAAUACAUUAUUUUUGUUAAUUUUUUUGUAAGCCUUUGCAAAUGUACUUUAUCAUCGAUCUUAAUUUGUUCCCAGAAACUUGCUGUAACAUGCACGCAGCUGUCUUCUAUAAUCUUUAGACUGCAUUGAAGUCUCUCUUGAAGGAAAUCAGGUUGAGAAUAAUUUUCAUAUUCAUGCGUUUGAAUCAAUUCAUCAACUUAGUAGGAUAAUCCAGUAAUCCAAGGAUAUCGGUUUCUCCAUUUCUGAUCCGUGUGUGGUGGGAAUGAAUGUUGCAGUUAUUGUUUCGUAGCAAGCUGAGACAAAAAAUAGUAUGAGUAGUGCAACACGCCGUUGCC